ACACAUGCAAGUCGAACGGCAGCACGAAAGAGCUUGCUCUUUUGGUGGCGAGUGGCGAACGGGUGAGUAAUGCAUCGGAACGUACCGAGUAAUGGGGGAUAACUAUCCGAAAGGAUAGCUAAUACCGCAUACGCUUUGAGAAGGAAAGUGGGGGCUCUUCGGACCUCACGUUAUUCGAGCGGCCGAUGUCUGAUUAGCUAGUUGGUGGGGUAAAGGCCUACCAAGGCGACGAUCAGUAGCGGGUCUGAGAGGAUGAUCCGCCACACUGGGACUGAGACACGGCCCAGACUCCUACGGGAGGCAGCAGUGGGGAAUUUUGGACAAUGGGCGCAAGCCUGAUCCAGCCAUGCCGCGUGUCUGAAGAAGGCCUUCGGGUUGUAAAGGACUUUUGUUAGGGAAGAAAAGGAUAGUGUUAAUACCAUUAUCUGCUGACGGUACCUAAAGAAUAAGCACCGGCUAACUACGUGCCAGCAGCCGCGGUAAUACGUAGGGUGCGAGCGUUAAUCGGAAUUACUGGGCGUAAAGCGAGCGCAGACGGUUUAUUAAGCAAGAUGUGAAAUCCCCGAGCUUAACUUGGGAACUGCGUUUUGAACUGGUAAGCUAGAGUAUGUCAGAGGGGGGUAGAAUUCCACGUGUAGCAGUGAAAUGCGUAGAGAUGUGGAGGAAUACCGAUGGCGAAGGCAGCCCCCUGGGAUAAUACUGACGUUCAUGCUCGAAAGCGUGGGUAGCAAACAGGAUUAGAUACCCUGGUAGUCCACGCCCUAAACGAUGUCAAUUAGCUGUUGGGGCACUUGAUGCCUUAGUAGCGAA
rnacentral:rRNA from 1 species